AUGGAAGCUCCCAGGCGAGGGGUCGAAUUGGAACUACAGCUGCCGGCCUACACCACAGACACAGCAACACCAGAUCCGAGCCGCAUCUGCGACCUAACCACAGCUCACGGCAUCGCCGGAUCCUUCACCCACUGAGCAAGGCCGGGGAUCAAACCUGCAACCUCAUGGAUACGGGUCAGGUUCAGCACCUCUGAGCCACAACAGAAAUUCCCUACUGUUGCUGUUUGAAAUUAUAUCCAUUUCGGAACCACUUAGAUAAACACUGGAGUGGAGUAUUUACUCAAAAUACAUCUUCUGGACAGACCGAUGAACUUGCAAUUGACAUUCAUUUAAUAUGUUAUCUAAAUUGACACGAAAUAGCUUUAUUAAAAUUAUAAUCAGAUGGGUAAAAACACUAUACACUUUAAGUAAAGGCAUUAUUGUUAUGAGAGAAAUUGGUUUGAAAAGCUACUUUUUAAAUCACUUUCCAUACUGCAUAAUGGUUUGCUACAGUUUGGGGCAUUUAACUGUUGAUCAAAUUGGUAGAGUAUUAUAUUGGGCCACUUCAAGUUUUAUAUGAUUUUUCCAUUACCUCUUCUAAGAUACCAUCAUGGGCUAUCUUUCCGGAUGGAGAGUGUUUCCACUCAUUUAAAUAAUUCAGGAAGAAGUUCUUUCCUGCCUUGGAAGGUCAAGGACGUGUGUGUUACUGAAAAAUAACAAAAAAUAAGCUGAAAGAGAGAAAACCCAGAAAACCAUAACCUAAUGAAUGACUCCCAUUUACUGAAUACUUCAAAUGGGCCAGACACUGAGCUAGGAAUUAUAUACAUAUGGUCACUCAUCCUUGGUCCAACUCUGUCAGUGGCCCUCUUGACAGGGAAGUGAACAGAUGCUCAGAGAAGCUAAGCCAUUUGCAAAAAUGCAUACCACCAAUUCAUGCACAGCUGGGAUUUGAGCUCCAAUUUUUCUGGCUCCAAAAUUAAAGCUUUUUCUAUUACACACCGUGCUAUCUUGGCAAGGGGGAAACAUGUCUUUUAGUGCUGGGGGAUUCAGCAAAAACAUUUUACAAAAGAAUUUAACUUCUUUUGCUAGCAUGGCACAUGAGUAAGCUCUCUUAGUUCUAUAGCUUGCAUUGUUAAGAUUGCAUAGAGCAAAGAGAAGCGGCCUACGUAGCCGGGAAGCAUCCGCGUGCCUGCCUGUACCACAGACAAAAUCCCUUCUAUAAGGAGCAUCCAGGUAGUGCAGGAGUCAGGAAAGUGAGCCAGUGACCUCGAGGGGAGAGGAGCAUUAUGCAUGUGCUCUAAGAGCCCAAACGUGGGCUCCUGGGACAGGUUCAUGGGCCAUGGACGACAUGCUACAGAAAACACCUGGCUCGUUCUCAAGUACUGGCCCGGUGAGGACAGGGGGAUGCUCCAGACAGAGGACCAAACAGAUGCAACAGCACCAAGGUGAAAGCAGGCAAAGCAAGACAGCCACAGGGGGCUCCGCGUCAGCAGAGCUCAGCAUCUGGGGUGGGGGAGCGAGGCUGCGCCUGGUAUAGGGCCUUGCACGUAUUCCACGAGACCUGGGUUAUCUGUUCUGCAGGGUAUGAGAACCUCUGAAGGAUCCCGAAGGCGGACAUGAGUUCCAAUAUGCUCACUUGGAGAGCUGGGAGUCAAGCCUGGAGCCAGGCCAGGCAUUGUCUGCAGCCUCCCCAGGAGUAAGUGAUGCAUCCCGGGCAGAGGCAGUAGGAAAAAAAAAAAAAAAGGCAGGAAAAUGACUUCUGACCAACAUUGAAGACAAACAUCUACUGAGACCUGGAGCCAGAGGUCAUCAAAGUGGUUCUUAAAUUACAUGCAAGUCAAAAGGUCUGGGGAGAAAUGCAAGUCCUUUUUUUCUUUGUGGAUGUUAUAAAUUUUAGAGUUUUAAAACAUGUUCAAUAAGAAAUGAGAAUCUUAAAUUGAUCCAAAACAUACGCUCGAAACAGUUCUUAAGAUUUUCCGUAAGAAUCUAACACCAGCAUAAAAUUCCUACACACCUACCCUUUCUUUUUAUCCCAAUGCACAGAAAUCUUCAAAUUCCGUGGGAGACAGAAUGAGGGAAAGGACAGGAAAUAACGAGGUAGUCGAUACACUUAGUUUUAACUUUUGUUUAGAAAUGACAAGUUUUUACACUGAAAACUAAAUCAAUGUGAAGACUUAUUCAUUAAAAAAAAAAAAGGCCAAAACUCCUCAAAAGUCCAAAACGCUAUUAGAUGAGUAGUAAAGGGCAUAUGCAGAAUGGGUUUUGAUACCCAGAAGAUGAUGCAACGAACAGAACUAAAGAUGAGGGGAAAUUGAAAAUACUGAAAUAUGGCAGGGCAAUAUUAAGACGUUAUGGCCACGAGACUUUAGAAACUGGUUCUUCCAGUGAUAGGAGAAGGGUCUCUGAGGGAGGUAAUUAAAAUGAUAACCAAAUGGACCAAUUACAACUGAAUCCAUUCUGCAGGAUUGGCCAAGAGGCGACAGGAAUGGGCAGCGCAUCCCACCUGCACAGGUAAGGCUCUUCACGUUGCCACCUCCGAACAUCUGCUGGGAUCCAACCAACCUCUGUCUCAACAACCAUCGCCUCCAAUGCCCCAACUACCAAAUGGGUCCACAAGGGACUGGUCCACUGAGAAAGCUCUGUGUCUAGGACACAAGACCUCCUCCCCCUGACGAGGAGAACGUCCUAGGAGUUUGGUUGCUCUCCAGCAGGGAAAGGUUAGAUGACCUUCCAAAUGAAAGCCCAACUCUGCCUACAGAAUGUCCCUGCCGCUCAGUCAAGAGAAGCAGUCUUCACCCUAUUAAUAAACCUUAAACCAGAGGCUUAGAUCACAUAUAUCCCAUAGCUUGCAGUGCUAAGUACUUCAUUGACGAAACUUCCUGAGAUAGCUUAGGAUCCACGCCCUCCACGUCUUCAGGAUUUUUGAAAAUGUCUUCUUUACUUCUCAGUUCAUAAGAACCCCCAUCAGUGACCCUUUCUGCCUCGUUAAAUAGCUAAAAUAUGGUGAUCUCCAGGGGUUUGAAGACAAAGCUAACAGGCUUCUGGGUUCAAGCAUCCAGGCUAUUCUCCCUAUGGAACACGUUAAUAUCACCGGCGUUCAAGUUUGCCUAAUUCUUCUGCCAAGGACGAGUAAUCCUGGAUCCUGAACUUCACUUCAUAUAUCCAGUUUCCUAAGUCUUCUCUUUCUGUAUCCGUUUGCCUAUCCAGUUUCCUAAGCCUUCCAGAAUCUUUGUGUCUCUCCUCUGAUUCCUACAUAACACUCUAAGUUAGACUCAAAACAUUUAAAAUCCAUGUGGGGAUUUGACGUAUCUUUUUUUCUCUCUCUUUUUACAGCUACAACUGUGGCAUAUGGAGGUUCCCGGGCUAGAGGUCAAAUCAGAGCUGCAGCUGCCAGCCUACACCACAGCCACAGCCAUGCAGGAUCCCAGCCGCAUCUGCGACCUACGCCAAAGCUUGAGACAACGUCGGAUCCUUAACCCACUGAGCAAGGCCAGGGAUCAAACCGGCAAGCUCAUGGACACUCUGCUGUGUUCUUAACCCACUGCACCACAAUGGGAACUCCGGAUCUGACCUGUCUUGAAGAAAACGCACACAUAAACAGUAAGAGAAGAGUUUGAGGAUGUCAGGAUUAUUGUCACCCUUCCCCAUUCUCUGAAGAUCACCCCACCCAGGGGUCGUUCACAGAGACGGUGCAAAGACAGACAAGUGCCCACUGCCCCCCUGGAAGGGUGCUGUCCAAGGUGCGUGGCUGCGUCGUGCCGGGCACACGUGUGCCAUGUAGCCCAGCCUCAUAAUUCUAUGCAUGCACGCAGCCAUUUCACAUCAUGUCCCCUGGGUGCUGGGACAAAUAAAAAUAUUAAAAAGCGCUGGUGCCUGCCAUGGAGCUCAGAAGCCCAUCUCAAAGCCCAGGGAAUGCGUGAUGGAAUGAUAAGCAGACACAGAUGCGCACUGAAAUACGAUGCGAGGACUCCUGUAGAAAAUCGUAAGAACGACCCGGAGCAGGAGCCCGCGGGAGCACGAGGAGGAGAAAGACUGUUCCCACUCCCAGCCUCCACCACCAGAUCCGCGAUGCCCCGGCGGCCAGGGAGGCCGAGGACACGGUCCCUUCGCCACCUUAGCUCUGCUUCUGGUCUCCUCAGAGUUAAGGAGGAGGAGGGCGGAACAGUUCGGACGAGGAGAGGCGGGCAGGGAAGCUCCAGGACCAGAACAGAAGGCUUUGUGGCAUGAGUCCUGCAGACAAGGCUGAGACUCGAACCUGCUCAACUUUUAGUAAACCAGGCAAACCCACUGCUAUGGACUGAACGGGGACCCCCGCCCCAAAGUUCACAUGUUGAGGCCCUAACCCCCAAGGGGCCUGUAUUCAGAGUAAAGAUGGAAUUUGGAUUCAAUGAGGUCUGAUCUGACAUGAGUUUAGCCCUGACCUGACACGAGUUUAGUGGGUAUCCGAGAAAACAAUGCUAAAAAUAUUCUAUAGCAUAGUAAAACGCUCUUUAUCUGUUAUUUCCUUCUUUUUCUUCUUCCUCUUCUUCCCAUUUUUGGUCAAUGUCUUGAUCUAGAGUUUGAGGCUCUGGUAUGGCAUAGAAGGUGAAUUUUUAAGACACCAAAGAAAAGGUUAAAAACAAAAUAGUUCCAGUUUGACCCACAAAGAUCACAAUUCUUCUUUUCCUAGAAAGUACCCAGAACACAGGAAAUGCGUGUGUAAUUUCGAUUUUCAACAAAGUGAAAAGAUCAAUAGACUCUCCCGACUCCACGGUGGGUGGGAGGGCUACAAAAUGCACUCAGGGCCCAGAGGUGGGAAACUGAGAAAAGACGCUAUAAAAGAACCCUCAUAAAGGAGGCUGUAGAUCCAAAAAGGAAGCAGAGGUGUACCUCCAGGUAAGGGACCUAGAAAAGCCAGGUCUUUGUUUUGCAACGAAAAGAACAUUGGCGGGUGCCCUCCGGGACUCGGGAUGCUCAGAAGGCUGGGCUCCAGAAGGAACAGCAUUACCAGGAGUACUGAAGGAAGCAGGACCACCAUGAGGCAUGGAGGUCAAUCAGUUUGCAUCUCCACUGGCCAGGAACGCAACUUGAGCAUCAUGGAUGGAGUUCAGUGAUUUUCCCCCACAGGUGCUCAGAGAGGUCAAGUGCUAAUGACGAGAACAAAUGUCAGUAGCAGCAGUAAUACAUCGUUCAUAGUAAAGGGGCAUGCUGAGAAACGGAAAAUUAAGCACAGGGUAUUACCAACACAUCAAAGUGCAGAAAAGCUGCUGGACCUCAAAGACAAAGAAGUCCAUUGGGCAACCAGGCAGAAAGAUCAACUCUGUUGUAAGUGAAAGGAGAAAUUCAGGUUGGCCUUAGAGGACCAAACAGUGGCCCUGAUAAAUCCUAAAAAGUAGAAACAACAUAGACAUUUAUUUAAUGCAAAAUAAGGCUAAAAACAAUUUAAAAAAGAAAAAAUCCACUGUUCACAAAAAACAACAUGAAUGUCUCUAGCGUCAAAAAAAUCAAUUCAUACCAAGUCGCCAAAAUAUUUAUAACAUAAACACGAUGAGCACAUAUGAAGAAGCACAGAGUUAAAGCAGGCUCCAGAGGAAAGACGCUAUAAGUAUACAGUCUUUAUACUUAUAAAUAAGAAAAAAUGCAUUAAGCAUCUAACACAAGAGGUUCAAAAAAAAAAAUCCCAAGUAAAAUAAAUGUAAGGGAUUAAUAAGGAAAAGAAAUGGAAAUAAAAAAAGAGGAGAAAAUCAACAAAAGCAAUAAAUACAUCCAAAACGCAUUCCUUGGAGAAAUAAAAAUAAAUGAAAAAAAUGCUAGAUGAAUCAGGAAUUAAUAGAGAAAAGACAAACCCGAGAGUAAGAAACUGACCAGGGAAAAGUAACUAUAAGAACAGAGGUAUAACUGAAACCAUGGAAAGUGAUUGCUAACUCUAGGAAAUACAACUGCAACCUAAGAUGAAAGAGACUAUAUUUAUAAGAGUAUAUCUUUGAGCAGAACACUCCAGAAAACAAAGUAAAUCUAAACAGAAGAAUCUGCACAGGAAAAAAAGGGAAUGGUUUCUAAUCUACGUGAACACGUGCAAUGCAAGGUGGCCGACGGAAGUGACGCAUUCAGCAUCAUCCUUGGCCCCUGGCCGGUGCUCUCUGUGUUUGCUCUUAUUAUUGUCAAAAUAGAUUCAAAAUCCUUCAUCAUUUAUUCGUCAAAAGAAUCAACAGUAAAUUAGAUAAAAACACACCACGACCCACUGAGUUAAUUCCAGAAAGUUAAGAAUUGUUCAAUAUUAGAAAAGGGGAGAAAUCAUACAAUCUCACGCAUGAGUGAUUUUUUUUAAGAAAGUCUGUUGGUAAGGUUCAAGAUCAAUAUUUAAAGAAGAGAAAAGAAAAACAAGAAAAGGUCUCUAAGUAGGAACAGACAGUUACUUCCUUCAAAUUGUAGCA
rnacentral:lncRNA from 1 species